ACCAAAGUCAAAUGCCAUUGCUUCUCUCUUGUGGGUUUGAUUUUUUCUUUUUCGAUGUCUGAUAAGCUCUUUGUUUGUUUUACAGUUCGAUUGGCAUUAUCUUCAAUAAGGCCGAUGGCACGAAGAAAUUGGAUAGAUAAUGCCAACGAAGAGAAAGAAGAAGGAUUUUGUGUCAACCAAUGAAGUUACGGGCAUCGAUAGCACUCCUAGGAGAAAAUGAAUAUCAAUUUAAGUUCAUACUCUCUCCCCCAUGUUCAGUCAUUUUUGACAGCCUGGUUGGAGUGCAGUGGUGGUGGGACGAAGAGGAAAUAAAGAGAAGAGGUUAUGUCGAAGUACUACUAAUAUCUAAUGGCAAAAUUGAGGACUUUUGUGGAAAUUGAGUCAUUCAUAAGAGGAUUGGCCAUUAACAUGUCUCUUAUGUAUUCAUAUUUAAAGCUUUCACAUUAACAUCCAGGCCCCCUUUCCAAUUUAUCCCCAUACUGUAUGAGGCAAGCACCAUACUCGCGGAUAAUAACUAGGGAAAUUAGCACUCCUGUUCUUAAAACUAUGAGAUCACUUUAAAAAGCUGGUACGUACCCCAGAAUCACUCCCCCAUUUUCUCUCCCAACAGGCGGCAUCAUCUCCCACCAUUAAUUUUGUUUUUGGCGGGCCCUUGAAAACAAGGGGGGCAUUAUCAUUGUAAUGUGAGUGUGGGGGAAGGCUGGGGGAGGACCUGUGGGGGGAGUGAAGAAUUUUCGGUAAACAAUUAAUGGUUGUUCUUUUAUAAAAGAUAUUUUAACUUAGCUGAAAGCAUUGUACCGUUUCCAGAUUAACUUAGCUGAAGGCAUUGUACCGUGUCCAGAAAUUGAAACUACACUGAUUUAACAGGUAAUUUGUGCCACAAAACCUUGGUACUGGCUUACCCUCGAAUAUCAAUGGUUCCUAGCCAACGCUCUCAAUGUUGAAGCAUUACGGAAGUUUCUAUUGCCGAAAGUUCUUCUUUGCUGUGUAAUAACUCAAAUGAGGAUAUUGUACACAUUUUUUUACAAUGUAAAUCUACGUAUGUACUAUUUUGUGUUAUCGGACAGGAGAAUAGUGCAUCUUUUAUAAGCGGAAGGCUAAAUAACUUGGACCCUUGAUGGAAAGAACAAAAUGUGCAAGUUUAUGGGGUAUACGUGAAGACAGUGAUGGACUAAUAUUUGGAGGUAUGUGGUAUUGAUUAGCGGUCAAUAGAUUAAGGACUUGGUUGAGCGAAUAAGGGUUAAACAUACUUCCAAGUGCCAAAUGUAAGUAUCGUAUCUACCGAUACCGAGUUAAUCAUAUCUGUCAUGGUUGAGUGAAUAAAGGUUAAACAUACGACCAAGUGCCAAUACAGAUGCUGCGAAGUUGCAUAGCCAUCCUCCAAAAACAAGUAAAAAUCUUCCCUUAGAACCAAAGGUAUCAUGAAGUUCACUCCGUAUGACAUCUAUUUGAACUCCACUUUGUUGGGACUUAAGAACCAGUUCAUAGGAGGAAAGGAGCGUUUAUCAGA